rnacentral:rRNA from 1 species
UUGGAAAAGCCAACCAUAGAAGGUAAAGGUCCUGUAGUCGAAAGUCAUUUCUCUCCUGAGUGGAUCCUGAGUACGGCGGAACACGUGAAAUUCCGUCGGAAUCUGGGAGGACCAUCUCCCAAGGCUAAAUACUCUCUAGUGACCGAUAGUGAACCAGUACCGUGAGGGAAAGGUGAAAAGCACCCCGGAAGGGGAGUGAAAUAGAACCUGAAACCGUGUGCUUACAAAUAGUCAGAGCCCGUUAAUGGGUGAUGGCGUGCCUUUUGUAGAAUGAACCGGCGAGUUACGAUUUGAUGCAAGGUUAAGCAGUAAAUGUGGAGCCGUAGCGAAAGCGAGUCUGAAUAGGGCGAAUGAGUAUCUGGUCGUAGACCCGAAACCAAGUGAUCUACCCAUGUCCAGGUUGAAGUUCAGGUAACACUGAAUGGAGGACCGAACCGACUUACGUUGAAAAGUGAGCGGAUGAGGUGUGGGUAGCGGAGAAAUUCCAAUCGAACUUGGAGAUAGCUGGUUCUCUCCGAAAUAGCUUUAGGGCUAGCCUCAAGUGAUGAUUAUUGGAGGUAGAGCACUGUUUGGACGAGGGGCCCCUCUCGGGUUACCGA